UGCCAGCAGCCGCGGUAAUACGGAGGGUGCAAGCGUUGUUCGGAAUUAUUGGGCGUAAAGAGCGCGUAGGCGGAGAUUCAGGUUCGACGUGAAAACGCUACUGCUCAACAGAGCGACUGCGUUGAAAACCGGAUCUCUUGAGUGUGGUAGAGGUUGGCGGAAUUCCUGGUGUAGCGGUGGAAUGCGCAGAUAUCAGGAAGAACACCGAUGGCGAAGGCAGCCAACUGGGCCACGACUGACGCUGAGGCGCGAAAGCUAGGGUAGCGAACGGGAUUAGAUA
rnacentral:rRNA from 1 species